rnacentral:rRNA from 1 species
GACGAACGCUGGCGGCGUGCUUAACACAUGCAAGUCGAACGGAGUGGCGAACGGGUGAGUAACACGUGGGUGACCUGCCCUGCACUUCGGGAUAAGCCCGGGAAACUGGGUCUCUUACCGGGUAGUGUGGGAUGGGCCCGCGGCCUAUCAGCUUGUUGGCGGGGUAAUGGCCUACGAAGGCGGCGACGGGUAGCCGGACUGCGAGGGUGGACGGCCACAUUGGGACUGAGGCACGGCGCAGAAGGCUACGGGAGGCAGCAGUGGGGAAUAUUGCACAAUGGGGGGAAGCCUGAGGCAGCGACGCCGCGUGGGGGAUGACGGCCUUCGGGUUGUAAACUCCUUUCACCAUCGACGCGGUAGAUGGAGAAGAAGCACCGGCUAACUACGUGCCAGCAGCCGCGGUAAUUC